GGUCAAGAGAGUUACGUAAGUUGGAAGAAUAAUGGAAAGCCGAAGAACUUGAAUUUGGAAUCGGGGUACACAAUAAUUAAGUUCCGUUUUAUAUACUUACAUUAUAGGCGGAUUAAUUUCGCGCAUUACACCAAAAGUGAUAGGGUCGAUUUGGGGAAAGGCUUUUCUCGCCACGCGGUGUUUGACCCAGAAAGGGAUAAAAAGGGAGUGAUUAGUUGCCAAGGGGCAGUUUUUCGUUCCCGAUUUGUUUUGCCGCCGUAGGCCAUGUCGGUUUGAUUUUUGUCUGUCGUCGGUCGUCCAGCCCAGAGAUGCGACAUUUAUUAUUAUCCAGCAUGUAAUUUGACUUUGAUUUAGAAUAAAACCUGAUACACAACUUAACUUCAUCGAACUUGUCAUUCUUUGACUCCCGUCUUUUUUUUGUACGUGGGCAGCGCAAGACGGUGGGCGGCCACCGGCCGUCUUGCAAAGCUGUGCCGCUACAAAAUUGGUAGUACGGAUGGGGUCGGUCGACCGUCAUCUUCAGCAUGUUCGGGGAACGUUUUAGUCCUUCAGUCUGGUUUUACGCAUAAACACAAUGUUUAUCGGACAUUGAUAUAAAUUCAACAAGGAGAGCUUCACUUCAUGUCACCGGUUCCGGCUUAUUUUUUGUUCGAGGAUGUGAAUUAUGAUAUUAUUUUAACUUUAACGUUGGAGAGAGAAAUUCAGCUGCAGGGGUUGGAUUGAGCCCCCACAUCGCCCGGGUUUUCGACGUUGGGACCUUACAUGUGCCGUUGAGCUCAGGAGAAAGAACCCUUCGUCCUGGGACUCACGCGUGGCUGCAUUGUAGCGAGGAGUCGAGGGACCUGUGAAAACCACUGCAAAUAGACCUGACGGGGUAGCAUAGCUGGUUUCCACUAAAACCCUCCGGAUUAGUUGGUACCGACGAAGUCUGGUGAUUUCACAUUACACUGCGGUGAGAGGAGUCGUUUAACUGCGCGAGAAUCGUCUUGGAAGGGGCUGUAAAGGAACUCAGCAGGGCGAUUGCUUUUCCUUUGGUCGUCUCAUGAGGAUGGAUUGAGGUUAGGUACUGAAGGCCGCAGGCGCUAGUCCGGCUCGGGGAGUUGGACGCUAUCGAGGAGCUCCGAGACAUCGUUCUUCCAACCAACGCUUCGACACGGCCCUUCAUCUUCGUUAUCGACGUGGUGUGGUAGACCCUGUCUUCGAUAUCUUCGACGGUGGAAGCUGGCACUGUCGUUUGGAAGCCGAUAGCCUUGGCGAGUGAAGCAGCAGGAGUCGCUGAAAAUGGACCCAGAACUGAGAUUUGUGUGGGAACGGUGGAGUGCGCACUGGAAACCGGGGGAUGAAUUUCCCGCACGUUUUUCAGAACCGGAUAGUUUGAAACAAUGGUUAUAUGAAUGGUCUAAUUUUACUGUUAAAGAUGGAAUAUUAGGAAGGUUCUUGAUCCUUUAUUUGGUAAUAUAUUUCAAAUUUUACUCCCACAGUGUUUGCGUAAGAGUAUUUUAGUUGGAUGUCAUGAUGAAUGGGGACAUCAAGGUAGAAAUAAAACUCAACAGUUAGCUAGGUCAAGAGUUUAUUGGCCUGGCAUGGCUCGUGAUAUAAAAUUUUAUGUUAAAAGAUGUAUUAAAUGUGCUAAGGCAAAGGAGAUGCAGCCUCGGGUAAGAACCCCAAUGAGACAUCUAAUGGCAUUUAGUCCAUUGGAAAUUAUUGCUAUUGAUUUUGUUAAGUUAGAUCCUGGUAAGGGAGGAUUUGAGGAUGUACUUGUUAUUACAGAUGUAUAUACGAAAUUAGCUCAGGCAAUCCUUGUAGAAAUCAACACGCCUCAACAGUAGCUAAAGCUCUACAAGAGCACUGGUUCACAAAGUAUGGAAUUCCAAAUAGAAUUCAUAGUGAUCAGGGACGUAAUUUUGAGGGUCAGGUGAUAAAAGAAUUAUGUAGGCUUUAUGGUAUACGUAAGACUCGUACAACACCAUAUCAUCCUGAGGGUAAUGCUCAGGCUGAAAGAUUCAGUGGGACUUUAUUUGGCCUAAUCAAAUCGCUGGAUCAGCGUGAUAGACGUAGAUGGCCUGAAUUAUUGCCUCAUCUUGUCUACAUGUACAAUACCACCCCCACGAAACUACGAGGGUCAGCCCUUUUGCUCUUAUGUUUGGUAGGAAAGAGCGUAUUCCUUUAGAUCAUUUGUUGGGUGUGUCUGUAGAAUGGGAACAAGACUUUGUUAAAGAACAAGCCGAAUUGCUUGAGAGGGCUCAAAAGGUUGUCAGAGAAAGGACUGACAAGGUAGCAGCCCGGAAUAAGGCCCGAGCUGAUGCAAAUAUCUCUGCAAGUCCCCUCCCCUGGGCAUAGGAUCUCUUGUUUACUUAAAGAAGUGUGCUUUUAGUAAAAGACACAAGUUGGAGAAUGUUUAUUUUGAUGAAUUAUAUGUUAUUGAUUGGAUAAAUCUUACUGAGGAUAUUUAUCGUAUCCGACCUAUUAAUGGAGGUAAUCCAAAGAUAGUGAAUCGUAGGCUAGUAAGGAAAGUACCUUCUGAAUCAGAUGUGGUUGACCAAAAUAUGGAAGAUUUUGGGUUAUGAGAGAAGGAAAAUCAUUGCUAGCUACAAGGAUUCUAGAAAAGAUUUUGAGGAUGAAUAUGUUUUAGUACCAGAAAGAGUAACUGCAGAAACAGUAGGGGAGAGUACUGGUCUAACCAGAGUACGGAUGGGGGCGUACAAGUGGGCGUACCAGAGGCGGAACAAGUGUCGUCCAGAUGAGAUCUUAAAGACAAAAUAAAGGCAUUCAUUCUAAUCCAUACAACUUACCCAAGUCUGUAUUGGAAAAAUAAAGUAAUAAGUUAAUAAAUUUACCUUGGGUCUCUGGGCUGGACUCCGCCUUCAAUUAUUUAUGACUGACAGUUUUAUUAUUUGGACAUAGCUUUGUGAAACGAUUAGUAGGGAGUGGGGUAAGGAGCAUGUAUUUGGAAAUUGGUGGUAAAUAACAAAUAUUGAGAAGUUUUGGAGAAGGUGACUCAACUUUGAAAGAAUGCUACAUAAUACAAAUACAUAGGGAUAUGUUCUGGGUUUGGGAGCACCGUUCCCUGCCGGAUGCACCCCAUAACAGAAAGGGGGAAGGAGCUAUACCUAUGUAGAAUAGUAAGUUUUUGUCAGACACAUUUUUGGAUUUAAUUAGUUUUUUAUUAUUGUGGGAUAAAUGAUGUACAUCAGUGAUUAUGGGUUAUAUGUAUGAUUGCUUGGUUCUAUUGAUUGACUGGCCCAGUUUGGUUUGCCGACAUGGAUCAUUUAAUAUAUUUUGUGAUAUUAAUUAAUCUGUAAAUAUGUAAUUAUAUUUGUCCUUAUAGGAAAACCACAUAUCAGACGGCAGGAUGGUGUCAAACGGAACUGGAGGAGGCAUGGGAUAUCCACCUCUGAUGGUAGUUUUGACAUCAUCCCAAAGUCUUGGUAAAUGGUAGAAAACAGUAAUGUUUGGGUUAUUUUUUUGUCCAUGUAAUAGGACUUGUAAAAUUUGAACAAAUGAAAAAAGGGAUU
rnacentral:lncRNA from 1 species